CAUCGCCGCGGUAAUACGGAGGAUCCAAGCGUUAUCCGGAAUCAUUGGGUUUAAAGGGUCCGUAGGCGGUCUUAUAAGUCAGUGGUGAAAUCUCCCCGCUCAACGGGGAAACGGCCAUUGAUACUGUAGGACUUGAAUUAUUAGGAAGUAACUAGAAUAUGUAGUGUAGCGGUGAAAUGCUUAGAGAUUACAUGGAAUACCAAUUGCGAAGGCAGGUUACUACUAAUGGAUUGACGCUGAUGGACGAAAGCGUGGGUAGCGAACAGGAUUAGAUACCCCUGUAGUCCCUGUCUCUUAUACA
rnacentral:rRNA from 1 species